rnacentral:tRNA from 1 species
GAGGGUAUAGCUCAAGUGGUAGAGCAUAUGCUUAGCAUGCACGAGGUCCUGGGUUCAAUCAGAGGUACCUUCU